ensembl:lncRNA
CUAAUGGCCGUCCCACUGUCCCCAUUGUCCCCACUGUCCCUCACACUGCCCCUAAGGGCAGUCCCACUGUCCCCAUUGUCCCCAACACUCCUCACACUGCCCCUAAUGGCCGUCCCACUGUCCCCACAUCCCACCCCGUGGUCACCUCCACCCUUCGGGCUGCCCCCAUUCGCCCUCCCCCCACCCCCGGCCGCAGAGCCCCCAGCGGCGCCCCCCCCCUCCCUCCCCGCGUCCCCAUCGGCCACGAAGCGCCGGGGGGGGCGGAUGGGGCGGGAGGAGCGGGCGCUGAUCAGCGGCAUCACAAACUGCCGCAGCCGCCGCAGCACUGUGCCGCGCUGCCGCGCCGGGGGGGGCGCCGGGACGGCCCCACUGCUGGCCCCAUUGCUGGCCCCAUUGCUGGCCCUCACCCCGCUGGUGGCCCCAUUGCUGGCCCUGACCUCGCUGGAGGCCCCAUCGGUGGCCCUGACCCCACUGGAGGCCCCAUCGGUGGCCCUGACCCCACUGGUGACCCCAUUGCUGGCCCCAUUGCUGGCCCUGACCCCACUGGUGGCCCCACUGGUGGCCCCAUCGGUGGCCCUGACCCCUCUGGAGGCCCCAUUGCUGGCUGUGACCCCGCUGGUGGCCCCAUUGGUGGCCCCAUCGGCGGCCCUGACCCCAUUGCUGGCCCCAUUGCUGGCCCCGCUGGUGACACCACUGGUGACCCCACUGGUGACCCCGCUGCUGACCCCAUUGCUGGCCCCAUCAGUGGCCCUGACCCCACUGGUGGCCCCAUUGCUGGCCCCUCUGGUGGCCCUGACCCCACUGGUGGCUCUCAUGGUGGCCCUGACCCUGCUGCUGACCCCACUGCUGGCCCUAUUGGUGACCCCACUGGUGGCCCUGACCCCAUUGGUGGCCCUGACCCUGCUGGUGGCCCUGACCUCACUGCUGGCCCUCACGGUGGCCCCAUUGGUGGCCCCGCUGGUGACCCCAUUGGUGACCCCAUUGGUGACCCCACUGGUGGCCCUAACCCUGCUGGUGGCCCUCAUGGUGGCCCUGACCCUGCUGGUGGCCCCACUGGUGGCCCUGACCCUACUGGUGGCCCUAUUGGUGGCCCUGACCCCGCUGGUGGCCCUAUUGGUGGCCCUGGUGGUGGCCCUGACCCCACUGGUGGCCCUCAUGGUGGCCCUGGCUCCGCUGGUGGCCCUAUUGGUGGCCCUAUUGGUGGCCCUGGUGGUGGCCCUGGUGGUGGUGGCCCCGAUGGUGGCCCCGAUGGUGGCCGGGCUGCCCCGGGUGCUGCUGUGGUCACUGCUGUCAUCGCUGCUGCUGUCAUCGGUGUCACCGCAGAGCGCGGGGGGGGGGGGGGGGGGGGGG